UACGGGGGGUGCGAGCGUUGUCCGGAAUCACUGGGCGUAAAGGGCGCGUAGGCGGCCCUCCUUGUCGCGUGUGAAAGCCCCGGGCUCAACCUGGGAACGGCGCGCGAGACGGGGGGGCUGGAGUUCGGGAGAGGAGCGUGGAAUUCCCAGUGUAGAGGUGAAAUUCGUAGAUAUUGGGAAGAACACCGGUGGCGAAGGCGGCGCUCUGGACCGAGACUGACGCUGAGGCGCGAAAGCGUGGGGAGCAAACAGG
rnacentral:rRNA from 1 species